rnacentral:rRNA from 1 species
CGCGGGAUUAAACCUUUACAAUGCACGCAAGUGUGAUAAGGGGAUCCUAAGUGCUCAUACACUGUAUGGGCUUUUGCCAAGCGUAAAUAGUUUGGCGAAUAAGUGGUGGGUAAGACUGGUGCCAGCCGCCGCGGUAACACCAGCGCCACGAGUGGCAACCACGUUUAUUGGGCCUAAAGCGUCCGUAGCCGGUUUGGUAAAUCUUUUGUGAAAUCGACAGGCUUAACCUGUCGGCGUGCUUGAGACACUACCAGACUAGGGACCGGGAGGAGUCAGAGGUAUUCCAGGGGGAGCGGUAAAAUGUGAUAAUCCCUGGAGGAUCACCUAUGGCGAAGGCAUCUGACCAGAACGGAUCUGACGGUGAGGGACGAAGGCUAGGGGAGCGAUCCGGAUUAGAUACCCGAGUAGUCCUAGCAGUAAACGCUGCGAGCAAGAUGUUGCGCAUCUCACGAGGAUGUGCAGUGUCGAAAUGAAGAUGUUAAGCUCGCCGCCUGGGAAGUACGGUCGCAAGACUGAACUUUAAGGAAUUGGCGGGGGCGCACCACCAGGGGUGCGGCGUGCGGUUUAAAUCUACUCAACACAGAGAACCUUACUAGAAGCGACGGCAGGAAGACGGUCAAUCUGAAGGGUUUACCUGACGAGCCGAGAGGUAGUGCAUGGCCGCCGUCAGCUCGUGCCGUAAGGUGUCCAGUUAAGUCUGGCAACGAGCGAGACCUAUACCCUCUAUUGCUAGCGGCCACAUGUGGGACCGAGCACUUUGAGGGGACUGCCUUGGAAACAAGGAGGAAGGUGUAGGCAACGGUAGGUCUGUAUGCUCCGAAUCUUCUAGGCUACACGCGCGCAACAAUGGUAAUGACAAUGGGCUGCGACUCCGAAAGGAGAAGCUAAUCCUCGAAACAUUACCUCAGUUCGGAUUGCGGAUUGUAACUCAUCCGCAUGACGCCGGAAUCCCUAGUAAACAGACGUCAUCAACGUCUGUUGAAUAUGUCCCUGCUCCUUGCACGAAUUCGCCGAAUCACUAGU